rnacentral:rRNA from 1 species
UAGGGAAUCUUCGGCAAUGGGGGGAACCCUGACCGAGCAACGCCGCGUGAGUGAAGAAGGUUUUCGGAUCGUAAAGCUCUGUUGUUAAGGAAGAACGAGUGUGAGAAUGGAAAGUUCAUGCUGUGACGGUACUUAACCAGAAAGGGACGGCUAACUACGUGCCAGCAGCCGCGGUAAUACGUAGGUCCUGAGCGUUGUCCGGAUUUAUUGGGCGUAAAGCGAGCGCAGGCGGUUAGAAAAGUCUGAAGUGAAAGGCAGUGGCUCAACCAUUGUAGGCUUUGGAAACUGUUUAACUUGAGUGCAGAAGGGGAGAGUGGAAUUCCAUGUGUAGCGGUGAAAUGCGUAGAUAUAUGGAGGAACACCGGUGGCGAAAGCGGCUCUCUGGUCUGUAACUGACGCUGAGGCUCGAAAGCGUGGGUAGCAAACAGG